GCACCGUGGAUUAGUGGCGAACGGGUGAGUAAUACGUGAGUGACCUACCUUUGACUCUGGGAUAAGCCUGGGAAACUGGGUCUAAUACCGGAUACGACCAAUCUCUGCAUGGGGUGUUGGUGGAAAGCGUUAUGGAGUGGUUUUAGAUGGGCUCACGGCCUAUCAGCUUGUUGGUGAGGUAAUGGCUUACCAAGGCGACGACGGGUAGCCGGCCUGAGAGGGUGACCGGCCACACUGGGACUGAGACACGGCCCAGACUCCUACGGGAGGCAGCAGUGGGGAAUAUUGCACAAUGGGCGCAAGCCUGAUGCAGCGACGCCGCGUGAGGGAUGACGGCCUUCGGGUUGUAAACCUCUGUUAGCAUCGAAGAAGCGAAAGUGACGGUAGGUGCAGAGAAAGCGCCGGCUAACUACGUGCCAGCAGCCGCGGUAAUACGUAGGGCGCGAGCGUUGUCCGGAAUUAUUGGGCGUAAAGAGCUUGUAGGCGGUUGGUCGCGUCUGCUGUGAAAGGCCGGGGCUUAACUCCGGUUUUGCAGUGGGUACGGGCUAACUAGAGUGCAGUAGGGGAGACUGGAAUUCCUGGUGUAGCGGUGGAAUGCACAGAUAUCAGGAGGAACACCGAUGGCGAAGGCAGGUCUCUGGGCUGUAACUGACGCUGAGAAGCGAAAGCAUGGGGAGCGAACAGGAUUAGAUACCCUGGUAGUCCAUGCCGUAAACGUUGGGCACUAGGUGUGGGGGACAUUCCACGUUUUCCGCGC
rnacentral:rRNA from 1 species